CCAAGUCAGGAAUAUGACAGUUGGUGUUCAUUGGUUUGGUAUGGUCACUAUUUUCUAUUGUACAUAAAUUACUAACUUCAUUAAUGUUCAAUUAUUGACUCUUUUUAUUAUUAAUUUUAGGAGGAUUUCCAAACUUGUGGAAUAAUCGCACAACAUCAGAAGAAAAAGUUUGGCGACUUUUAUAAACAGGUAAAUUCGAUUGACUGUUAGAAAAAAGCAAUAUAUCAAGAUCAAGAUUAUCAACUGUACAUGCAUUCUAUCUAAUAUAACGGCACUAUUAAAUGUGGUUUAAUUUUGCUGAAAACCAAAUAAAAAAGGUAUGCACGCAAAACGGUCUUAUCCAAAAGCAAUUACAAAUGAAUUGAUUUUUUUUUCUUCUACUGCAAGGAGAGUCUUUAAAAAGUCGAAACAAGUGACAAAGUAUAAUAAAAAAGAAUAAGUAAAGACUUUUAUCAAAAGACGCUUUCAACAAACAUCAUAAAAUUGAGAAUGGAAAUGGGGAAUGUGUCAAAGAGACAACAACCCGACUAAACAAAAAACAACAGCAGAGGGUCACCAACAGGUCUUCAAUGUAGCGAGAAAUUUCCGCACCCGGAGGCGUCCUUCAGCUGGCCCCUAAACAAAUAUAUACUAGUCCAGUGAUAAUGAACGCCAUACUAAUUUCCAAAUUGUACACAAGAAACUAAAAUUAAAAUAAUACAAGACUAACAAAGGCCAGAGGCUCCUGACUUGGGACAGGCGCAAAAAUGCGGCGGGGUUAAACAUGUUUGUGAGAUCUCAACCCUCCCCCUAUACCUCUAACCAAUGUAGAAAAGUAAAAUGGUAAGUUCAUAGUUCAGACAAUUAGUCGUAAACGCAUUCAAUCAAAUAUAUCUGAGUUCAAGAUUACUGAUUAUUUUUGUAAAAAAAUCUAAAUGAACUUAAACAAACUAAGUGUACACUUAUAAAGUGUUCUUUAUUCUUUUGUGUGCAUUGACGUCAAACAUUUGCUAUUUUGAAAUAAAAAAUACAUUUUGCAAAUUACUCUGCAAUUUUUUAAGUUCAUUGUUUGGAAAUAUGUAACAAUCAUCUUUUGACAUCAACUCAUAAAAAUCUUUUCUUGAAUGCGAUUUGAAAUUUGUAAUAUUCGUGAGAUUACACAUUUUGAUUUCAUGAGGAUAUUUAAAAAAAAAAUAAGUUUGUGUUAAAAUGAGUUAAUUUUUCAACAGUUUAUAUAAAUAAAACAUUUGUAUAUGCUUGUUUAAGAAAAAAAUAUAUUUUAAUUUCAUUGUAAAAAGUAUAUAUUAAAAUUGCUGACCUUAAGCAUUUUUUGAUUUGACUUUACAUAUUGAAAAUGAAAAAUGCUCCAACGUGGAGCAUUUUUCAAUUUGACAUCAAAUAUUGAAAAAUGAAAAAUGCUCCAAUAUGGAGCAUUUUAUAUUUUAUAUUUUGACAUUAUAAAUUGAAAAAAGAAAACUUAUUCCGAACAUGAGUAGUAUUUAUAUAUUAUAUAUAUGAUAACAUUGAGAAUAGAAAUAGGUAAUGCGCAAAAGAGACAGAGAAUAGACAGACAGCAAAUGUGCCAAACAGCCAAAGCAGCAACAAAAGAGACAGCAAUUCGACCAAAGUGCAGACAACAGCCAAAGGCCACCAAUGAAUCUUUAAUAAACCUCUAGUCAACAAACACACAUCAAUGCGCACAGUAAUGCUCAUUUCAAAAGAAGUCCGAGUUCGAUGUCAGAACAAGUAAUGUAGUAUAUGUAUUUGAUUUUAACGACAUCAAUCUCUGUAUUACUAAAAUAUAUUACACCAUGGUUUUCUGUAUCGCAAACUAGUCAUUACAUUCACUCAAUGGUAUCAACGGUACAAUGACACCAUUCGCUAGAAAAAAAUACAAAUCAACACACAGACAUGUUAUAUGUUCAGAUCUACACAUCAAAUCUUAUUCUGUAACGGUAAUAUUCUAUACAAAACACAAAUAUGUCGGCAUUCACCUCAAAACCUAACCAAACAGGCUUAUUCAAAAGGGAUACAGUUACGAUACUGUCCAUAAGAAUGGCAUAUUUUAGUAUGAAUAUUUAUUUACUCAAUGACAUAUGGUUUUUGCAUUGUAAAUAAACAAAUUUAUUAUAAAACAAGUUGUUGGCAUAAAACGGUUUAUGUUCUUUUCACAUAUUUUAUGAUGAUAUCAUACAAAAACCCCGAAUGAGAGAGAUUAUGCUAGAAAUUCAGUUGAUGAAGACAUUAUCUUUCAAUCAGAUUAAUUUAUGUCUGGAACGGGCAUUUCAGUAAUUGAUAGUAGUCCGUUGUUAAUGUAUGUAUGUAUCAUUGUCAUUUAGCUUAGUUUUGAAAUAUAUUAGGCCCGAAACCACAAUUAAUUCCUUUAUCAUUUCUUUAUAACGUUUUGUCGCAUUAAAAACAAAUCUAUUUUUUUUUGUUUUGUGUGUGUGUGUGUAAUGCACAGUACGUCAAAACAAAAAUAUCAAGUAUACAUCAUACACAUUUGGUAAAUACAUAUCCAUACCCCUUAGGCAAUUCAAGAGAUGUUCCGAAAAGUGUAAUUAUACCCUUUUUGUACCUGGCCUAAUCACUAUUUCCAUAUAAACAUCAGUUAAAAUGAAAAAUCCAAAAGUUUUAUUUAAGCUCUCUUCUAUCAUUUCCACCCCAGAAAAACUAAGAAAUCUGAGGAAGGGAAAGAAAAAAAUAAAGACAAAAUACACUAUUAUUAAAGGGAACUAUAUUCGUAGACAACGAAAAGCGGGAUCAUUAAUUGUGGUUUUGGGCCAAUAAGAUAUCUGACUCUGAGUUUUACUGUGCGUGAUUUCGUGUCUAUGUUUAUUCUUCAUUGUUUAGAGGUGUUAGAUGGUCUAACAAUACAUAUGUAUGUCCAAGUCAGGAGCCUCCGUCUUUUGUUAGUCUUGUUUAUGUGUUGUCAAUUGAAUUAAUUGUUUUCUAAAUAUUGGACUUGUGUGUAACUUCUAUUUUCAAUGCAUACGUACACAUGUUAAGGGGUCAGCUGCAUGAAGCCCGCCUUCGGUCGCAGAAAUUUCCCGCUGUGUUGAAGACCGAUUGGUGAUCUUGAGCUCUUUUUUGCCUUUUGAUCGGGUUGUUGCCUUUGUUACACGUUCCACAUUACCAUUCUUAAUGUUAUCAUACACAUUUAAGGAUAAUUGUCAUGUUCCAGACACGUGUAGGUAUUCAGUCGUGUGUUCUGCGGGUAAACUAAUUAAUAAAAAUUCACAUCUUUUUGGUCAUAAUUGUACCUUUUAGUAUAUUUCUCAUGUUCAAAAUUAGGUGAUACACACAUAGUGCACACGUAUACAUAAUUAACAAGUUCUUCAAGAUGUUUUAAAAUACUGUCGACAAUUUGAAUAUUUAAAACACAUAUAUUAAAACAAAUUUCAUUUCAUUCUAGAUCUACUCAUUAAAAAUUAAAAAAAUAUGCAGUUUUGAUCAUCCUUUUAAAUUUUUAUAUUGCGAAAUAAUUUCAAUUCAAAAUGAAACAUGCAUUUUUUCAUUUUUCAACAUUUUAAAGUCAAAUUACAAAAAUACUUAAUGUCAGCAAUUCCAAUUUUUCUUCUGAAAUGAACUUAUAUUAUUUUUCCUUUCUAAAACAAGCAUCUGCAAAUCAUUUGAUGUAUUCAAACUGUUGAAAUUUUAUCUUUUUUUAAUAUCCUCGUGAAAUCAAAAAAAAAAAAAUUCCAUAUAGAUAACAAAUUUUAAAUAUCAUUAAGAAAAUGAUUUUUCAAAAGUCACUUCAAAAGAGUUUUGCCUUAUGUUUAAAGUGUGAAGAGCAAUUUGCUAUAUUCAUUUUUUUCUGUUAAAAAUGCCAUUUUUUGGCGUAAAUAUACACGGUCUUCUGUUGUACAUUGAUUACCUAUAGUACUUCAUUUAUUUAUUAUUCAAUUAUUGACUAUUUUUUAUUAUUAAUUUCAGGAGAAUUUCUCAACUUGUGGAAUAAUCUUUAAACAGAAGAACAAAAACUUUCGGCGACUUUUACAAGGUUUGGACCUACUUAAAAAAAAAACUUCAAGCCGAAC
rnacentral:lncRNA from 1 species